CAGGUGGAGCAGGAGGCCCAGGUGGAUGGCCAGGGUGCAGAAAAGCAGCAGGACGGCAAAGAAGAUGCCGAGGGAUUCCUGCCUGGUCUUCCAGCCUCUGCGCUGGAGGAUUCCCUCUAUGGAUGCUCUAUGGACACACUGACUGAUUCCAGCUCUCUGCACUUGACUGCACCAAGGCAGGAAGGCACAGAAGAUGGCAGUGCUGAGCAACUCACAUUUCUGGGUGAUGACAAUGCAUGCCUCUGCAGACCACAGCCCCUUGUUCAGCCGGGAGGUGAUGGAUGGCUUCACCUUGAC